GAAAAGAAAAAAAAGAAGAAAGAAAAGGAACGAACUCAGUCAGACGAAAUUCCUGAUUAUUUGAAAGAUUUUAUCUCCUCGAUCUCUAUAAAGAAUGCAGCUGAGAAAAACUCUAAAAAGAAAAGAAAAACCUCUACUGCAAGUAUAGCGGAAGAGGAUGAGGUUCAAGUCAAACGGAAAGGGAGUCACCAGUUUUCCGAGAUGGAGAUUAUGACACUUUGGAACAGGAAUAAA